AAACUGGAGAGUUUGAUCCUGGCUCAGAACGAACGCUGGCGGCGUGCCUAACACAUGCAAGUCGAACGAGAAAGCUCCCUUCGGGGAGUGA
rnacentral:rRNA from 1 species